rnacentral:rRNA from 1 species
UACGGGGGGGGCAAGCGUUGUUCGGAAUUACUGGGCGUAAAGGGCUCGUAGGUGGCCAACUAAGUCAGACGUGAAAUCCCUCGGCUUAACCGGGGAACUGCAUCCGAUACUGGCGGGCUUGAAUCCGGGAGAGGGAUGUGGAAUUCCAGGUGUAGCGGUGAAAUGCGUAGAUAUCUGGAGGAACACCGGUGGCGAAGGCGGCAUCCUGGACCGGUAUUGACGCUGAGGCGCGAAAGCUAGGGGAGCAAACGGG